rnacentral:rRNA from 1 species
GUGCCUCACUACAACCUAGAGGAGCCUGUGCAAUAACCGAUAACCCACGUUUAACCCAGCCCCAUCUUGCCAACAGUCUAUAUACCACCGUCGCAAGCUUACCUUGUGAAAGCUAUAAAGUAAGCCAAAUAACCCACAUUAAGACGACAGGUCGAGGUGUAACUUAUGAUGGGGACUACCAUGGGCUACACUCUCCCCCGAGCACAAACAAUACAAUGAAAAAGUAUUCAAAGAAGGAUUUAGCAGUAAGACCGGAAUAAAAUGCCGACCUGAACACAACGCAAUGAGGCGCGUACACACCGCCCGUCACCCCUG